GCAGCAGCCGCGGGAAUACAGAGGGUGCGAGCGUUAAUCGGAUUUACUGGGCGUAAAGCGUGCGUAGGCGGCUUUUUAAGUCGGAUGUGAAAUCCCUGAGCUUAACUUAGGAAUUGCAUUCGAUACUGGGAAGCUAGAGUAUGGGAGAGGAUGGUAGAAUUCCAGGUGUAGCGGUGAAAUGCGUAGAGAUCUGGAGGAAUACCGAUGGCGAAGGCAGCCAUCUGGCCUAAUACUGACGCUGAGGUACGAAAGCAUGGGGAGCAAACAGGAUUAGAUACCCCCGUAGUCCCUGUCUCUUAUAC
rnacentral:rRNA from 1 species